UGCAUGUUACGACCCAAUACAGGGGUAUGAAAAGAGGAAAAGGAGAACAAACAAAUGGUGGUAAUGACAAGUGCUGGGUUUAGCAAAGCUGCUCAAAGUAAAAACACAAUAAAACCACUAAGGUCUAACUCAAAAUCAGCCAACAAAACCAAGACUAACCAAACAGGCGAAUGGAAAAACUGGCCUACUAAUCUAUGUUAACAAAAGGUGGAGCAGCUCCAGUAGCUUAA